AUUGAACGCUGGCGGCAGGCCUAACACAUGCAAGUCGGGCGGUAGCACAAAGGAGCUUGCUCCUUGGGUGACGAGCGGCGGACGGGUGAGUAAUGUCUGGGAAACUGCCUGAUGGAGGGGGAUAACUACUGGAAACGGUAGCUAAUACCGCAUAACGUCGCAAGACCAAAGAGGGGGACCUUCGGGCCUCUUGCCAUCGGAUGUGCCCAGAUGGGAUUAGCUAGUAGGUGGGGUAAAGGCUCACCUAGGCGACGAUCCCUAGCUGGUCUGAGAGGAUGACCAGCCACACUGGAACUGAGACACGGUCCAGACUCCUACGGGAGGCAGCAGUGGGGAAUAUUGCACAAUGGGCGCAAGCCUGAUGCAGCCAUGCCGCGUGUGUGAAGAAGGCCUUCGGGUUGUAAAGCACUUUCAGCGGGGAGGAAGGGAGCAGGCUUAAUACGUCUGUUCAUUGACGUUACCCGCAGAAGAAGCACCGGCUAACUCCGUGCCAGCCGCCGCCGUAA
rnacentral:rRNA from 1 species